AUGAAGGUUCAGCCUUGGGGAGCGCUGCCCCUGGUAGGGGUUUGAUGAAGGUUCAGCCUUGGGGAGCGCUGCCCCUGGUAGGGGUUUGAUGAAGGUUCUGCCUUGGGGAGCGCUGCCCCUGGUAGGGGUUUGAUGAAGGUUCUGCCUUGGGGAGCGCUGCCCCUGGUAGGGGUUUGAUGAAGGUUCUGCCUUGGGGAGCGCUGCCCCUGGUAGGGGUUUGAUGAAGGUUCUGCCUUGGGGAGCGCUGCCCCUGGUAGGGGUUUGAUGAAGGUUCUGCCUUGGGGAGCGCUGCCCCUGGUAGGGGUUUGAUGAAGGUUCUGCCUUGGGGAGCGCUGCCCCUGGUAGGGGUUUGAUGAAGGUUCUGCCUUGGGGAGCGCUGCCCCUGGUAGGGGUUUGAUGAAGGUUCUGCCUUGGGGAGCGCUGCCCCUGGUAGGGGUUUGAUGAAGGUUCUGCCUUGGGGAGCGCUGCCCCUGGUAGGGGUUUGAUGAAGGUUCUGCCUUGGGGAGCGCUGCCCCUGGUAGGGGUUUGAUGAAGGUUCUGCCUUGGGGAGCGCUGCCCCUGGUAGGGGUUUGAUGAAGGUUCUGCCUUGGGGAGCGCUGCCCCUGGUAGGGGUUUGAUGAAGGUUCAGCCUUGGGGAGCGCUGCCCCUGGUAGGGGUUUGAUGAAGGUUCUGCCUUGGGGAGCGCUGCCCCUGGUAGGGGUUUGAUGAAGGUUCAGCCUUGGGGAGCGCUGCCCCUGGUAGGGGUUUGAUGAAGGUUCAGCCUUGGGGAGCGCUGCCCCUGGUAGGGGUUUGAUGAAGGUUCUGCCUUGGGGAGCGCUGCCCCUGGUAGGGGUUUGAUGAAGGUUCAGCCUUGGGGAGCGCUGCCCCUGGUAGAGGUUUGAUGAAGGUUCUGCCUUGGGGAGCGCUGCCCCUGGUAGGGGUUUGAUGAAGGUUCAGCCUUGGG